GGAAUAAUGAGAGCUCUCCAGAGGUUCAGUGAAAGGGAAGGGAUAGUAUGGCUGGUUGAGAAAAGGCCAGCACAGGGAGGGGGAGGGGGUGGACCUGAAUCCAGCUGUAGCCUCAGAGAGGCUAGAGCCAGAAGGGCCUCAGAGAUCAUCUGUGAGGAAACAGAGACAUAGAGCUAUCUGCUAAAGGAGGUACCCCACAAGAAAGGGCAGGGUCCUGAUUCUACCCUGGUCUCUGGCCUCCUGGACCAGUGCUCUUUUUCUGAAAUAUCCUUUAUCAAUUUCUCUCUCUUUUUUUUAAGAUUUUAUUUAUUUAUUUGACAGAGACAUAGUGAGAGAGGGAACACAAGCAGGGGGAGUGGGAGAGGGAGAAGCAGUCUUCUCGCAGAGAGGGGAGCCUGAUGUGGGGCUCGAUCCCCGGACCCUGGGACCAUGACGUGAACCGAAGGCAGACGCUUAAGGACUGAGCCACCCUGGCACCCCGCCUUUAUCAAUCUCUUGAACCUAAGGGCCCAUUUCCUUGCACUGGUAUUUGCUAAGGAGUAUGGAUCAACAACUAGGGGCAAGAUGAGAUAACACCAGACCUCCUGAGGGGACAGCCAGGAGGCAACUGCAGUGGCUUGGCAAGGUGACAAAUGAGGUCCAAAGAAGGCAGAGGAACAAAGAGGAGGGACUGCAGAAGUAAAGAGUGCAAAGGUUGCACCGUCUGGGCCGGUGGCACCUGAUCAUAUAACGGAGGGAGCAUAGGGGAAGGGACUAGACUGGAGUUUCCAGGCCCUGAGAGAGAGCAGCUUCCGUGGUGUGAGAAGGGCAGAACAGCAGGAUAGGGCAGAAGUUGGUGCGCAGCCAGAGAGAGCAGGUGCACUUCCAAGAAGUUCUGCGCCAAUGCAGAGCGGUCUGCACCUCUGCGGCUGUUUGUGAGAUACAUAUACACCGCUAGAACUCUCCUGGAAAAAUACACCAGUGCUAUGAGUCGUGGCCUGGCGGUGGGGGUGGGGGAAAGGCGGUUAGCAGACAAGGCUCGGCUGGCUCUCCCCUUCGGAUUCCAUCUUUGGAUUAUGAGCCAUGGGCAUAUAAAAUCAAACAGCAAACUAACCAGAAACAGUCUCCCAAGUUGUGUAGUAAAUGUUAGGAGAGAAACAGGGCAAUAACAAGGGAGUGGCAGGUUCUUUUCUCCUGAGAGCACCUUGGCCGGACGAAAUUGAAAAUCUGAGGGGGAGGGGUUAGGUGGAACAAGGCCCGGAGUGGGAGGAGAGAGCGCCGAGGCCCCGAGGAAGCUCUCGGUGCGAGGGAGAAAGGACCUUGUGUAGCGGCGGGUGGAAAUGGUGAGGCGGCGGCGAGGAGAAUGGAGAGGGCGCUGCCGGGAUUCCAUCCCGGCCGAACGCGGGCGUGCACGUAGUGAUGUUUACCCCGGUCGGACCUGCAGAAUGCUCGUGGGCCUGAGGAGAACGAGCUCUCAGACCUUACUGGUGUGAACGGGAAUUGCUCCGGCGUUGGGGGCCGUGUGUUCAAGGCGGCGCCAUUCGCGGUGGUGAAACACAGCAAACAAAGGGGAAGGGCAUGAACAACGGGACUGUUACAUGAGCUGGGGCGCCUUCGCGCCGUGGAUUAAUAUUCGGCCAUUUAGUAGAGUGGACGCGGCCGGGACUCGGGGUUUCCGCGGUGUGCUAGAAAAGCAGGAUGCCAGUGGCGUAGGUUCUGCGGUGCCAUUUUGGAAAACAAAAGGAAACACCGCCUGUGUGCGUGUUGAGUGUGGUUUUACGUGAGCAUGGGGAAAAGUACGGAAGUAUACACUGGCUGGCUAAAACCGGGAUGGUGGAAGAAGAGGAAGAGAGAGGGGGAAAUCCUUAAUACUUGCAGGGUAAAAGGCGCAAGUGCGAAAUAAAAACAAAAAACUACCCAGGGCCCCAGGCUCGGAGGUAAAGACCGCGAAGCGGGGAAUAUGCCUGCGCAGCCGAGCGGCACCGGAGCCCUGGCACCUCCCGCUUCGCUGCGGGCGGCUGCUUCUAGUUCGUGGACGACCGCGCGGCGUGCGUAGUCGGUGCGGGGUUCCCCCAGCUCUUUGUUAACGGAGGGUGGGGGGAUAGCGGGGCCCGCGAGGGGGAAGGCAGCCGGGGACGGCUCUACCGCUGCUCGCCCCGCCGCCCGCCCCGGCCCCGGGCCUGGCCCCAGCUGCUCAGGUCACGUCCCGCCCCGCGGGCCGCACUCCCCGGCCUGGGCCGCCCGCGCGCCCCGCUCUCCGGGGCUGCUGCCGCCGCCGCCCAUCCACACAAAGACGCGAGCGCCCGGGCGGCAGCGCAGGGGCCCGGCACGCACCACCUGCGGGUCUCUGUCUGCACCCCCUCUCCCUGACGCCGCCGCGCUCCCGCGGCCCCCACUCGCUUCGUCCCUCCUCAGAGCAGCCAUUUGCUCCCCGCCUCCCCCACUCAGCUACGGGAAGUGCUUGCAAAUAAAAUGAGGAAUAUGAAUGGGAAAUUCAAAAAAGAAGACAAACAUCUGAAGUGAAGACACAUUUGAAGGAGGAAGAGCAUGGGAAUAUGGGGACAUGAACUGAUUCAAGGGAUCUGGCCUGGGGAAAGCCUCAUGCACGGAUUCUGAGCAGACAGGACCCUGUCUUAAACAGCCUUGGACCAAAUUUAUAAGAUUUUACAAACUUGGGGUACAAGCCUUACCACAUAAAGUGGUAGGUGAAACCAGGAGUGUAAAUUACUGAGCCAAGUUCAGCUACCAGCCUCGCCUCCACCCCCAUUUCCCCAGCUUCAAAGAGAAUGUAGGUGACCACAGACUCUGAGGUCUUGCAGGUUGGCGCAGACUUUUGAGGGCCUGUUGUACAUCUCUCUGCCUUGUUCUGGUGGGUACUACCUGUUAACACUAGUACUCAUACUGCCCCACAUUUGAUCUUUCCUUCCUCAACCACAAACUUAUACUACCUUCUACUAUUCUGUCUUCAGAAUGCCAAUUUUUUGUGUUCCAAUUUCAUCUCUGGUACCAAGCAGUACGAUGAACUUUACAGUUCCAAAAUUCUUGGUUCAGAAAAAUAGCGCCGUGGAGCACCAGGUGGGCAGGUUUCACUCUCACCCAUGCCUGCACCCGUGAACAGGGACCCUCCUAAGGAAACACAUGGAGUCUCAGCAUAGUCCACGGCAUGUGGCCACCCAUCUCAAGGCCUGACUUCCUCUCCUCCCCACUCCCCACUCCCUACCCCGUGGCCAGGAAAAGUAACAGAGAAGGUGCUUCUUAGAACCAUAGUGUUUAUAUUUAGAGGUCUAGGGUACAAUUCCAUUUUCCUCUGUCAUCACACCUGGCUUUUCUGGCUUUUAGAAGAAAAUGCUCCACUCAGAGAUCCUGACUUAUUUCUUCCCAGGCAGUGAGUCAUAUUCACAGACAAACUCUAUCCCCUGGGUCACAACCUCGUCACCUACCAACUCAUAAAAAUGAUCAAAGACUGUGUGUCCUUGUACCUCUAUAUUAACUUGCAAAUAAUUCACUUAAAUUGAGAGGAAAACACCUCAGCAUAUCCUCCUACCUCCCCACCCCUUGUUUUAAUUUUCUCCAUAGCACAUCUGACAUACUAUACCACCCUUCCUCCCUCCCUCCUUCCCUCUCCUUUCCUUCCUUCCUUUCAUAGUCUUUCUCUCUCUCUUUCCUCACUGGACUAUUAACUUUUUGAAGGUAGUGCUUCUGUUUUUGUUCAUUUCUGUAUCCAUAGAACCCAGCUCAGUGCCUGGCACAUGGUACUCAAUAAAUGUUGAAUAAACAAAUUGUUGAAUGAACAGCUGAUUUUUCCUUCGUUUUCUCUGGGGCCUACCACUCCCUCUCCUGCCACAUGUUUUUCCUUUGGCUUAACAGCUAAGGGAUCAGGUGACCGCAUAUUUUACAUCUGCCCUGGAGGGCAACUUCACUAAAGUGGGAGUGGGUACUUCUCCACCUCUGAUAUCUCCAGCUGCUGAAAUCACAUCCACUUGGCAAGUCUUACUGACCUUCUUGGGGCACCAUCCUUUAACUUCCCACAGUAAUCUCACCUUCCUCCAAAUCCACAGCACUCAAUGCUUGUAUCACUCAACUACAAUUUAGCACUUUCUGCCUUGUGCUGAUAAUUUUCCUGGAUGUGACUGCAACAGGAAGGUCAACAAUUAAGACAAGGGUAGUAUUUCCUUGGCAAAGCUGGCUUCCUGCCCUUGCUCCCCCACCUCCUACCCUUUUCCCACAGGUCCCCAUGAGGCAGUAUUUACCUUGCUGAAUUAAAACAAGAACCCAGAUCUGGGCCUUACACUUUCAGGCUGGCCCG